GACGAACGCUGGCGGCGUGCUUAACACAUGCAAGUCGAACGGAAAGGCCCUGCUUUUGUGGGGUGCUCGAGUGGCGAACGGGUGAGUAACACGUGAGUAACCUGCCCUUGACUUUGGGAUAACUUCAGGAAACUGGGGCUAAUACCGGAUAGGAGCUCCUGCUGCAUGGAGGGGGUUGGAAAGUUUCGGCGGUUGGGGAUGGACUCGCGGCUUAUCAGCUUGUUGGUGGGGUAGUGGCUUACCAAGGCUUUGACGGGUAGCCGGCCUGAGAGGGUGACCGGCCACAUUGGGACUGAGAGACGGACCAGACUCCUACGGGAGGCAGCAGUGGGGAAUAUUGCACAAUGGGCGGAAGCGUGAUGCAGAGACGCCGCGUGCGGGAUGACGGCCUUCGGGUUGUAAACCGCUGUCGCCUGUGACGAAGCGUGAGUGACGGUAAUGGGUAAAGAAGCACCGGCUAACUACGUG
rnacentral:rRNA from 1 species